rnacentral:rRNA from 1 species
AGUGAACGCUGGCGGUAGGCCUAACACAUGCAAGUCGAACGGCAGCACAGGAGAGCUUGCUCUCUGGGUGGCGAGUGGCGGACGGGUGAGGAAUACAUCGGAAUCUACCUUUUCGUGGGGGAUAACGUAGGGAAACUUACGCUAAUACCGCAUACGACCUUCGGGUGAAAGCAGGGGACCUUCGGGCCUUGCGCGGAUAGAUGAGCCGAUGUCGGAUUAGCUAGUUGGCGGGGUAAAGGCCCACCAAGGCGACGAUCCGUAGCUGGUCUGCGAGGAGGAUCAGCCACACUGGAACUGAGACACGGUCCAGACUACUACGGGAGGCAGCAGUGGGGAAUAUUGGACAAUGGGCGCAAGCCUGAUCCAGCCAUGCCGCGUGGGUGAAGAAGGCCUUCGGGUUGUAAAGCCCUUUUGUUGGGAAAGAAAAGCAGCCAGUUAAUACCUGGUUGUUCUGACGGUACCCAAAGAAUAAGCACCGGCUAACUUCGUGCCAGCCGCCGCAGUAA